GACAUGGGAAGCUUGCUUCCUAUGAAAUCGAGUGGCAAACGGGUGAGUAACGCGUAAACAACCUGCCCUUCGGAUGGGGAUAACAGCCGGAAACGGCUGCUAAUACCGAAUACGAUCUUUUCGUCGCAUGACGGAAAGAAGAAAGGAUGGCCUCUAUACAAAGCUAUCGCCGAAGGAGGGGUUUGCGUCUGAUUAGCUGGUUGGAGGGGUAACGGCCCAACAAGGCGAUGAUCAGUAGCCGGUCUGAGAGGAUGAACGGCCACAUUGGGACUGAGACACGGCCCAGACUCCUACGGGAGGCAGCAGUGGGGAAUCUUCCGCAAUGGACGAAAGUCUGACGGAGCAACGCCGCGUGAGUGAAGAAGGUCUUCGGAUUGUAAAGCUCUGUUAUACGGGACGAAAGAGACGGAUGCCAACAGUAUCCGUCCGUGACGGUACC
rnacentral:rRNA from 1 species